rnacentral:lncRNA from 1 species
GAGCCGAAAAUCUAACAUAUAGGCAAUUUGGACUUUCUAACACCCCAUGAAGGUACAUGAAGAAACCAUGAGGGAACAAAAUGUAGUAACCUAUAGAAAAUCAAUUUUAAUUUUAAUCUUCAUCCGCUCCCCUCUCCUUGAAUCGCUUUAGCAAUAUCAAUCUGAAGAAAAAUAUAGUAAAAAAUCAUCUCCCAUGAAUUUACACUUAGAAAGUUAAAGAAUGAUAAAUGGAAACAACCAUGUUAAAAACACAUAUUUGACACCUCCAAUUUCUCAUAAUAUCACACUAUGCACCUCAAUUUAUGGGAAAGUUAAUGGAGGAGAGCUUAUAAAGAUAAAGAUGUUGAGGUGCAUAGAUUGAUUUAAACUUGUGAGAGAUACUUUCAUUUUAUUGAUUGGUCCCUUUUACUCUGUUUGCUUUGUAAGUGUUCUUUCAGACCUUGUUGCAUUUUCCAGUGUUUCUUCUCCAAAAUAAAAAAUUAAAUAAGCCAAAGAAAGAGGCAAAAGUCCACAUCAUUAUUAUAGCUUAACCACAUUUUUAGUUGUAUAUUACUUAGUAAAUAUAUUUAUUAAUCACUAAAAAAUUGUAUAAAAUGGUAGAAUCUGGAAUUGACUACCAACAUGAUUAUUAUUAGUUGAUUACCUGGUCCACCCGUAGUACAGUGCAUGCAGCAUCCGCAACAUAUAUAAGAGAGAGCCU